rnacentral:tRNA from 1 species
GGGCCCGUAGCUUAGCCAGGUAGUCGGAGUUUACCGACUGAAAGCGGCGGGCUCUUAACCCGAUGGCCGAGGGUUCAACUCCCUCCGGGCCCGCCA